UACAUUGUUGUCAUGGCAGUGCCCUCAAUUGACAAAUGAUUUCAUUGAUCGUGUAUAGUAGCCAAACGCUGUAUAUGGUUGUGAAUGUAAAAUACUGUAUGCUAUACGUAAAAAUGAUAAAAAGCGUGUUUGGUUUAUUUUAACAGUAAGGAGAAUAUUAAUAUUGAUGAGUAUUAAGAUGCUACCCAGACAUGAACAUGAGAGGGCCUAUAAGCUACACAGACAACGGUUGGAUGAUACAAAACCUCAUUUAGACGUGAGUCCACCCAAGCAAUAUCCACAUCUUGUAUAUAGAAAUAAGCAAAUCAAGAAUGAAGAAGAGAAAUUAUCGCAAGUUGAUAUUGAAAAUAAUAGACUACUACAUAAAAUGACAAACAUCAUGAAAUCAGGUGGUCGAGUAGACAAUUGGAAUGAUCAACCAUUUAAAAGACCAGUAGAUACACACAAAAGGAGAAAGCACGAAGACUUAAAGCUAGAAAAUGUACAAAUAGCUCAAAGACUUGAAGCUGUUAAACCAUAUUAUGGUCGCCAUGUGUGGGAAGACGACUUUAAAAAACACAAACACUAUAGAGAGAUGAGACAGGAAGCUAACAAGGAGUAUUAUGAGACGCCAUCAAAAAAGAAUAAACAGAAGGAUAGUAUGAAGAUGAUUCCAUAUUAUUUGUGAAAAUGGGCAAAGGACAAAGAGAUGUUCUACAUUUUCUAUAUUAGAUUCACAGAAAGUGCAGAGUGUGUUAUCAACUUUUCUAAUUUUGAAUAAUUUAUCAUUUGUGAAUAUAAUCCUAUGGAGAUAUUUGUAUUCAAAACUCCUCAGUUUUGUACUAAGACAUACAGUGUUUAUUAUUUUGAAUAUAUUUUCUACGUCUAAAUCACUUAACUCGGUAUCUAGAAUGUGUUCCCAUGCUUUAAUGGCUUUUGGCCUGCUGAACUUUGCUUGUAUUCGGCUAUCAUAAAUAUUUUUUAAGUUUACGUUGUGAAAAUGGGUAUUAUAUAUUUUGUAAAAAUUAGUAUUUAUAUCUUCCAAGGGAGUUCUAUUACAAUUAAAAUUUGUAUGUACCGCACUUUCAAACUCGCUCGCUUCCUGUACAUACUGCAAGAUACACUUUUCUAUUCCUUUUAAGAUAAAUUGAUGUUUUUCUAAAUAGUGAUUAUCGAUCUUAUUUAUUUUAUCAAAAUAUUCACUAACGUACCGAAUAUUAUUGUUAAAAAGAAAGUUUAAAAAUAUAGUUUUAUUAUUAAUCUUUAUAUUUGUAUUAUUCCAAAUAAUUUGAUUUUCAGUGUGGGCAAUGUUCUUUAUAUGCGUUGUGUAGAUUGUAUACCAGUUGCAUUACAGGUUUUUAUAAAAAGGAAUUUUUAGAUUUAACUUAUCUGGAAAGUUGCAUGCAGGUAAUAAAUUUCCACUAUAUUCAGCCAUAAUGAAUUCAUAUGGUAUGAGCCAUGUUUGGAUUGGUGACUGAUAUAUUUUUUUAAUCCAAAAAAUGCUAUUACAUAUUAGGAAUUCUUUUAAGUCAAUCAUUUUUAAUCCGCAAUUUUUAUUUUUUUGUAUAAGAAUGUCUCGCUUUAUUCUGUCAGGACCGUUCCAUAUAAAUUUGUAAAAAAUUGUGUUUAGUUGUUGAAUAGUAGAAUCCGGUACUGGAUUAACAGUGGCCGGGUUUAAGAAUUCUUGGAAUGCAGAAUGUUUUAAUUAUUUGUAUUUUUCCAAUUAAAGAUAAUUUAUGUUUAUCCCAUACUUUUAAUAUUUGUUCUAUUUCAUUUAUUUUAUUUCUAAAGUUUAAUUCACUAGUAAUUUGAGUAUCUUUUGAAAAAAGGAUCCCGAGGAUUUUUAUAAAUUUUUCGCAUAAUACUAUACCGGUUGAUUUUAAUUUUUGCAUUAAAUUCAUAUCACAGCUAUUUAAAUCUAUUGCUUCUGUUUUAUUAACGUUAAUUAUAAGCCCCGAAAUUAAACCGAAAAGUCGCAAAACCUCAAGCAAAUGUCGUGCAGAGCUAAAAUCUUUUAAUAAUGCCGUUAUAUCAUCAGCAAAGGCUACAACUUUUAUGGAUUUUUGACCAAAUUUUAUUCCAUUUAUAUUUAUAUCGUCUCUAAUAGCGCAUAACAACAGUUCUAUGAUCAAAUUAAAAAGAUUGGAUGACAUUGGAUCGCCUUGUCGUACACCCCGUUUUACAUGAAAAUAAGGGGUUGUAAAUCCAUUGUUUAUUACACAACAGGUGAUAUUUUUGUAAAGGGUUUUUAUCCAUCUAAUAAAGUUACGUCCGAAACCGUACGACGAUAAAGCUUGUAUUAAAAAGUUAUGGUUUAUGCUAUCGAAGGCUUUUUGGAAAUCUAUAGCCAAAAGAAAGCCUAUUAUUCUUUUUUGUUUCGCAAGAUCGAAACAGUCGGAGAUAAUACGGGUAUUUUCAUGAAUGUGGCGACCUGGUAUAAACGCGGAUUGAUUUGGGUGUAUUAAUUGGUUCAAAAAUGGUUUUAAUCUAUUAGACAAAACUUUAGCAUGUUCUAUCUUUAUUACCUUUAGGAAUGAGUUUAAUAACUGAUUGACGUUGUGUUACGGAUAAAGAUUCUUCUUCAAAGGUACAGUUAUACGAGUCUAAUAAUAAUACAUAAAUAUCUGGCCAAAAAUGUCGAUAAAAUUCAAUUGUGAUACCAUCAUUUCCUGGAGAUUUAUUUAUUUUAAACGAGUUUAAGGCCUUCUGAAGUUCGAAAUAGUCAACUUUGAAUUCAAAUAAAUCCUUCUGGUAUUCAUUUAGCCUUUCUACGGGUCUAAAAUUUGUUAUAAAAUUGUUUUCCUUUUUAAAAGACGUAUCUUUCGACGCAUAUAAAUUUUUAUAAAAUAGAAAUAUUUCAUCCGAAAUUUCAAUGGGGUCAAAUAUAGCAGAAUCGUCUGAUUUUUUAAGCUUAUUUAUUGUCGUAGCACAUUUUCUAUCUUUUUCUAAGUUUAAAAAUAAUUUUGUGUUUUUUUCACCAUUUUCAUACCAGUUUUGUUUAGAUCUAAUAAUUGCUCCUUGCGUCUCAUCAAUGUAAAUGUUAUCUAAUGAUUGUUUAACUUCAGUAUAUUGAUCAUAAAGUUUUUCGAUAAUUUUGUUGUCACAAGGUUCCUGUUUACUGAUAAGGGAUUCAAUCUUGACCAGUUCUUCAAUUAGACUAUUUUUUACAGCUUUUUUAGGUUUUUGUUUCUUUUUGGAAUAUCCUAUAGAAUAUUCCUUUAUCUUAAAUUUAAUGAAGUCCCAUAAACCAUUUUUAUUUUGUUUGUCAAAAUAUUUACUUUUCCAUAUCGGUAUUGAUGAUUUUAUCAUUUUAGUAUAUGUCUUGUCUUUUGUUAGCGAAGAGUUAAAUAUCCACAGAUUUGGUCCGCGUGGAUAAUUGUUUAUUUUGAUAUGUAGAUGAAUUGAUGAGUGAUCAGUAAAGGAAGUUGGCUUUAUUGUACAUGAUUUUAUACAAUCUUGAAUUUUUUCCGAUAUCAACCAAAAAUCGAUUCGACUUUGUAUCAAAGGCUUCCUUUGUUUCCAAGUAAAACGCUUAUUAUUUUGAUUUAGAUUUCUGAAUAUAUCUAAGAGGUUAAAAUAAUUAAUUAUAUUGAAUAUGGCAGUUUGGCCUUUUCUUUUCAGUUUAUAAUUGCCGCCAUAUCUAUCAAGUUGAACAUUUAGGACAUUAUUAAAAUCUCUGCCAAUUACCAUUGAGAACGUGUCAAGUUCACUACAUAGCUGUUGUAAAGAGUUAAGUAAUCUUGUAUAAUAAAUGUACUGGUACUUAUCAGAUAUAGGGCUAUAUGUAUUGACUAAAACUAAGAUAUCAUUAUAGACACUUAUUACUAAAAUGUUAAAAUAA